GCAUGAGAAGAAAGCUUCCGGUGAUAAGACAUGUCAUUUCGUGCAUAGGAUAUGGUUUUUUUUCACUGAAUUUAUGCUAAUGUUUUUUCUUCAAAAUAUAAAUGAUUGGUUUUAAUUUUGUGUAGGAAUAUGAUGUUAUCGAAGAGCUUUAAAGAAAAUUCCCUGGAAUUCCUACAAAAUCCCUCUAAAGUUUGUCUACUUGUGUGAUGAACAAAUACCCCCCAAAGCGAAGCAAGUAGGAGUAUAGUAGCAUCGCCACCGACCGUAGCAAUGGCGACGGCAAGGGGCACCGGGCCGGGGCGGCAGGACGAGGAUAUCCGCCAGUCCAGGCUGCUAACCAGGAGGAUCAACUAUCGCCGCGACAAGCUCCUCCACGACGCCUGGGAGGUCUCCGAGCUCUUCGCCCCCCACCUCGCCAUCCUCNNN
rnacentral:lncRNA from 1 species